rnacentral:rRNA from 1 species
UUUAAAUUGAGAGUUUGAUCCUGGCUCAGGACGAACGCUGGCGGCGUGCUUAACACAUGCAAGUCGAGCGAUGAAGUUCCCUUCGGGGAACGGAUUAGCGGCGGACGGGUGAGUAACACGUGGGUAAC